GUGAGGAAUAUUGCGCAAUGGAGGCAACUCUGACGCAGCCAUGCCGCGUGCAGGAAGAAGGCGCUACGCGUUGUAAACUGCUUUAAACCGGGAAGAAACCCCAGGACGUGUCCUGGGUUGACGGUACCGGAGGAAUAAGCACCGGCUAACUUCGUGCCAGCAGCCGCGGUAAUACGAAGGGUGCAAGCGUUAUCCGGAUUCAUUGGGUUUAAAGGGUGCGUAGGCGGAGCGUUAAGUCAGUGGUGAAAUCCUGCAGCUUAACUGUAGACUUGCCAUUGAUACUGGCGCUCUUGAGUGCGCUUGAAGUGGGCGGAAUGUGCCGUGUAGCGGUGAAAUGCUUAGAUAUGGCACAGAACACCAAUUGCGAAGGCAGCUCACUAAGGCGAUACUGACGCUGAGGCACGAAAGCGUGGGGAUCGAACAGGAUUAGAUACCCUGGUAGUCC
rnacentral:rRNA from 1 species